rnacentral:rRNA from 1 species
GAUGAACGCUGGCGGCGUGCCUAAUACAUGCAAGUCGAACGAAACUUCUUUAUCACCGAGUGCUUGCACUCACCGAUAAAGAGUUGAGUGGCGAACGGGUGAGUAACACGUGGGCAACCUGCCCAAAAGAGGGGGAUAACACUUGGAAACAAGUGCUAAUACCGCAUAACCAUAGUUACCGCAUGGUAACUAUGUAAAAGGUGGCUAUACUACCGCUUUUGGAUGGGCCCGCGGCGCAUUAGCUAGUUGGUAGGGUAAAGGCUUACCAAGGCAAUGAUGCGUAGCCGAAUUGAGAGGUUGAUCGGCCACAUUGGGACUGAGACACGGCCCAAACUCCUACGGGAGGCAGCAGUAGGGAAUCUUCCACAAUGGGCGAAAGCCUGAUGGAGCAACGCCGCGUGGGUGAAGAAGGUCUUCGGAUCGUAAAACCCUGUUGUUAGAGAAGAAAGUGCGUGAGAGUAACUGUUCACGUUUCGACGGUAUCUAACCGGAAAGCCACGGCUAACUACGUG